AUGCAGUCGAGCGCGGGAGCAAGCUGAUCCCUUCGGGGUGACGCUUGUGGAACGAGCGGCGGACGGGUGAGUAACACGUGGGCAACCUGCCUGUAAGAUCGGAAUAACUCCGGGAAACCGGAGCUAAUGCCGGGUAAUACAUUUCUCCGCAUGGAGAGAUGUUAAAAGAUGGCUUCUCGCUAUCACUUACAGAUGGGCCCGCGGCGCAUUAGCUAGUUGGUGAGGUAACGGCUCACCAAGGCGACGAUGCGUAGCCGACCUGAGAGGGUGAUCGGCCACACUGGGACUGAGACACGGCCCAGACUCCUACGGGAGGCAGCAGUAGGGAAUCUUCCGCAAUGGACGAAAGUCUGACGGAGCAACGCCGCGUGAACGAUGAAGGUCUUCGGAUCGUAAAGUUCUGUUGUUAGGGAAGAACAAGUACCGUGCGAAUAGAGCGGUACCUUGACGGUACCUAACGAGGAAGCCCCGGCUAACUACGUGCCAGCAGCCGCGGUAAUACGUAGGGGGCAAGCGUUGUCCGGAAUUAUUGGGCGUAAAGCGCUCGCAGGCGGUUCCUUAAGUCUGAUGUGAAAGCCCACGGCUCAACCGUGGAGGGUCAUUGGAAACUGGGGAACUUGAGGACAGAAGAGGAGAGUGGAAUUCCACGUGUAGCGGUGAAAUGCGUAGAUAUGUGGAGGAACACCAGUGGCGAAGGCGACUCUCUGGUCUGUUUCUGACGCUGAGGA
rnacentral:rRNA from 1 species